rnacentral:rRNA from 1 species
UUUAUGGAGAGUUUGAUCCUGGCUCAGGAUGAACGCUGGCGGCGUGCCUAAUACAUGCAAGUCGAGCGAACGGACGAGAAGCUUGCUUCUCUGAUGUUAGCGGCGGACGGGUGAGUAACACGUGGAUAACCUACCUAUAAGACUGGGAUAACUUCGGGAAACCGGAGCUAAUACCGGAUAAUAUUUUGAACCGCAUGGUUCAAAAGUGAAAGACGGUCUUGCUGUCACUUAUAGAUGGAUCCGCGCUGCAUUAGCUAGUUGGUAAGGUAACGGCUUACCAAGGCAACGAUGCAUAGCCGACCUGAGAGGGUGAUCGGCCACACUGGAACUGAGACACGGUCCAGACUCCUACGGGAGGCAGCAGUAGGGAAUCUUCCGCAAUGGGCGAAAGCCUGACGGAGCAACGCCGCGUGAGUGAUGAAGGUCUUCGGAUCGUAAAACUCUGUUAUUAGGGAAGAACAUAUGUGUAAGUAACUGUGCACAUCUUGACGGUACCUAAUCAGAAAGCCACGGCUAACUACGUGCCAGCAGCCGCGGUAAUACGUAGGUGGCAAGCGUUAUCCGGAAUUAUUGGGCGUAAAGCGCGCGUAGGCGGUUUUUUAAGUCUGAUGUGAAAGCCCACGGCUCAACCGUGGAGGGUCAUUGGAAACUGGAAAACUUGAGUGCAGAAGAGGAAAGUGGAAUUCCAUGUGUAGCGGUGAAAUGCGCAGAGAUAUGGAGGAACACCAGUGGCGAAGGCGACUUUCUGGUCUGUAACUGACGCUGAUGUGCGAAAGCGUGGGGAUCAAACAGGAUUAGAUACCCUGGUAGUCCACGCCGUAAACGAUGAGUGCUAAGUGUUAGGGGGUUUCCGCCCUUAGUGCUGCAGCUAACGCAUUAAGCACUCCGCCUGGGGAGUACGACCGCAAGGUUGAAACUCAAAGGAAUUGACGGGGACCCGCACAAGCGGUGGAGCAUGUGGUUUAAUUCGAAGCAACGCGAAGAACCUUACCAAAUCUUGACAUCCUUUGACAACUCUAGAGAUAGAGCUUCCCCUUCGGGGACAAAGUGACAGGUGGUGCAUGGUUGUCGUCAGCUCGUGUCGUGAGAUGUUGGGUUAAGUCCCGCAACGAGCGCAACCCUUAAGCUUAGUUGCCAUCAUUAAGUUGGGCACUCUAAGUUGACUGCCGGUGACAAACCGGAGGAAGGUGGGGAUGACGUCAAAUCAUCAUGCCCCUUAUGAUUUGGGCUACACACGUGCUACAAUGGACAAUACAAAGGGCAGCGAAACCGCGAGGUCAAGCAAAUCCCAUAAAGUUGUUCUCAGUUCGGAUUGUAGUCUGCAACUCGACUACAUGAAGCUGGAAUCGCUAGUAAUCGUAGAUCAGCAUGCUACGGUGAAUACGUUCCCGGGUCUUGUACACACCGCCCGUCACACCACGAGAGUUUGUAACACCCGAAGCCGGUGGAGUAACCUUUUAGGAGCUAGCCGUCGAAGGUGGGACAAAUGAUUGGGGUGAAGUCGUAACAAGGUAGCCGUAUCGGAAGGUGCGGCUGGAUCACCUCCUUUCU